AAUUCUUUGUUUAAGAAGUUCCGUUAUCAGUUUAAGACCAAUGAGUUGCUUCUUGAUUUGAAAUACUGUCUUGAUAACUUUGCAAAGCCACUUUUGGAAGUGUUUAAAAGAACUGUCAAUUUGAUCGAUCAAGCUGUGGCGUGUGGGGCUGCAAAUGCCGCAACCCUUAAGCUUUACAUAGAGUCUCAAAGGUUGUGCUGUAGAAUAUUUUAUUCGUUGAAUUUUCAAGAGUUGCCGGAGUUUUUUGAGGACCAUAUGG
rnacentral:misc_RNA from 1 species